AUUAGAGGGAAUAAAGGUACACUGGGAAUUAAGCAAUUUUACAUUUACAUAACAACCAUUUAUGACUCUGGGGGAUAUGAAACAAUAGAGAAAAUUCUCAGCACAGGGCUGAGGUUUCCACUGCAGGAUUCCCAGGACCAUUAAUGAAAAUCGUGUGGCUGAAUCUUGUCACAUCUGCUGAGAACUUAGCCUGAAGUGUUCUCAUUAUGCAAACUUUGGGAGCUCACAAACAGUGGAUUGAGUUAGCAUGCUCUCUUCUGGGUGCCAGUCUUGCCCAUAUUCUUUUUGUCCCAUUCAUUGCAACAUGCAGUUUUCUUUUAUUUUGUUUUAUUUCCCUCAGGUUAUUUCUGAGCCAUAAGUGGGAACAGCAAGGAACAGAAGGAGAAAAUAAGUUAACAAUGACUAUCAGCUUCAUGGGAUCCACUGCCACUUGUAGGAUGCUGUCUUUCAUAGGAAGAACCAUUUAAAUUGGGCUUUGCAUGGUGCAACCAAUUAAAUUGCUCUCAUUUUCAGCAUCUGAACUAGAUUUUUCAUGAGAACAGAGCCAAUGUCAGAGUUCAUCAUAAGGGGGCAUUAAAGAGAGUACCAGGGUGUGGUUCUCUGUACAGCAUAAACUCCACCAUCCAUCUGUGAGUGAAGAUGGAGCCCUGAACCACCUCCUCCUCCAAUGUCCUGGAAGAUCCCAGAGGAUGGAGCUUAUAAAAUGGCUUACCUUGGUACCAUGUGCUUGGAAAACAAAGAGCACUAUUUAGCUCUUUCUUCUACCCUUGAAGUCUGUAUCUCCCAUCAUUUUAAUGCCUCAUGUUGCACUUCUAACAUGGGCACACCCAGGCAUGCAACAAUGGGGAUGGCCCUGCUCAAUGGCACACCAAGCUUCAGAUAAUUUAAUCGUAUCACUGAUGCUAGGACCUGGAUCAAAAUCAAGCAGAAAAUUCCCUCUCAAGAUCUGAAAUGUUUUUCUUUUCCCCAGUAAAUUCACCUCAUUUUCAGAAGUUAUAGCCAAAGUUUUCCUUUGGUUUGGUUUGGUUUGGUUUUUAGCAUGUUAGGGAAAUAGCCAGACAACUCAUUGUUCAAGUGCAAAAAUGCUCUGAGAGAGAGAGAGACAUUAUUUAUUUAAAAAAUUAUUCUAGAUGUGAUUCUGAAUUUUGAUUAAGAAAUAAGAACGUGCAGUUAUUCUUUCCUUCUUUCUAAACAUUUGUUGAAUUCAUGAUCUAUGUCACAAAGUGAAAAAACAUAACAUACAUAGAAGAGAUGCAAGGUUCUGAAAAGAAAUAAACAAUAGGCCAGAAUCCAAAAAUAAAACCUCUUAAACUGCCAAAGGGAUGCGAUGACACUUAGAACUCGCCUAGUGAAUUGAGUCUCCAGAGAAAAGUGUCAGAUUCCAAAGUUCAAUCUCCAACUUCCUAAGGAGGGAUUUUCCAAAUUCCCAACUGCUGGCUCACAGUAAUAAAACAUAAGAAAUAGAGUUGGGGAUUGGCUUAGUGGUAGGGCACUUGCCUUGCAUGCACAAAACCUUGGAUUCAAGUACAGUAAAAAGAAAUAAGAGAAAAAGC
rnacentral:lncRNA from 1 species